UGGUUCUGGUAUNGAUGAAGAACGCAGCGAAAUGCGAUAAGUAAUGCGAAUUGCAGAAUUCCGUGAGUCAUCGAAUCUUUGAACGCAUAUUGCGCCCUCUGGUAUUCCGGAGGGCAUGCCUGUCCGAGCGUCAUUAUCAACCCUCGAGCCCGGCUUGGUGUUGGGUCCCGUCGGCGUCACGGCCGGACGGACCUGAAAGGGAAUGAUCGAACCUCCGUGGGCCUCGGACGCAGCGAGCUUUUAGCAUGCGUUUCCGUGGUCGCGGGGCGUUGGUCUGACCAACAUCUUUCUGAUUGACCUCGGAUCAGGUAGGGAUACCCGCUGA
rnacentral:misc_RNA from 1 species